UGAGGAAUCUUGGUCAAUGGGCGAGAGCCUGAACCAGCCGAGUAGCGUGCAGGAUGACGGCCCUAUGGGUUGUAAACUGCUUUUAUAUGGGAAUAAAGUGAGGGACGUGUCCCUUAUUGCAUGUACCAUAUGAAUAAGGACCGGCUAAUUCCGUGCCAGCAGCCGCGGUAAUACGGAAGGUCCAGGCGUUAUCCGGAUUUAUUGGGUUUAAAGGGAGCGUAGGCUGUUUGUUAAGCGUGUUGUGAAAUGUAAGAGCUCAACUUUUAGAUUGCAGCGCGAACUGGCAGACUUGAGUGCGCACAACGUAGGCGGAAUUCAUGGUGUAGCGGUGAAAUGCUUAGAUAUCAUGACGAACUCCGAUUGCGAAGGCAGCUUACGGGAGCGCAACUGACGCUAAAGCUCGAAGGUGCGGGUAUCGAACAGG
rnacentral:rRNA from 1 species